rnacentral:rRNA from 1 species
UUCGUAGGCGGUGCGGCAAGUCGGGAGUGAAAUCUCUGGGCUUAACUCAGAGGCUGCUUCCGAAACUGCCGUGCUCGAGUGUGGGAGAGGCGCGUGGAAUUGCAAGUGUAGCGGUGAAAUGCGUAGAUAUCUGCAGGAACACCCGUGGCGAAAGCGGCGCGCUGGACCACAACUGACGCUGAGGAACGAAAGCUAGGGGAGCAAACAGGAUUAGAUACCCUGGUAGUCCUAGCCCUAAACGAUCAGGACUUGGGGUGGCGCCCGUUCGGGCGUCGUCCCGGAGCUAACGCGUUAAGUCCUGCACCUGGGGAGUACGGUCGCAAGACUGAA